rnacentral:rRNA from 1 species
CCUACGGGUGGCUGCAGUAAGGAAUAUUGGUCAAUGGACGCAAGUCUGAACCAGCCAUGCCGCGUGGAGGAUGAAGGUCCUCUGGAUUGUAAACUUCUUUUAUUUGGGAAGAAACUCCCGAUUUCCAUCGGGAUUGACGGUACCAGAUGAAUAAGCACCGGCUAACUCCGUGCCAGCAGCCGCGGUAAUACGGAGGGUGCAAGCGCUAUGCGUUUUCAGGGGGUUUAAAGGGUGCGGUGAUGGGGUGGUAAAAUCUCCGGGCUUAACCCGGGAACUGCCAUUGAUACUAUUUGUCUUGAAUACUCUGGAGGUGAGCGGAAUAUGUCAUGUAGCGGUGAAAUGCUUAGAUAUGACAUAGAACACCCAUUGCGAAGGCAGCUCACUACGGAAAUAUUGACGCUGAGGCACGAAAGCGUGGGGAUCAAACAGGAUUAGAUACCCUGGUAGUC